AAUUUUGUUCACGUCACUUAAUUACGUCACUUCAUAACGUUCCUACGGCAGCAGCGGAAAACGGCUGCUCUUGUAUGAAGUAAACGCAACAUUUUUCAACUUUCUGCUAAGAUAUAUGUGGCUUUUUUGCAACGAAAAUGCGGGGAUUAUGAAAUCAUGCAAGCCCUGCAUUAUUUUGUAUGGAAAUUGGCAAUUUAUGCGGCAAAAGUGCGGGGUGUUUGAAAAAGAUGCGGUCCCCGCAUGAAUAUGCGGACUUUGGCUGAUUAUGCGAUUACAUAACCACAUUUUGUUGGAGGGACUGACUAGACUAAAAC